rnacentral:rRNA from 1 species
AGUGAGCCAAAACGGAGAGUUUGAUCCUGGCUCAGGAUGAACGCUGGCGGCGUGCUUAACACAUGCAAGUCGAACGAACCUUCGGGUUAGUGGCGGACGGGUGAGUAACGCGUGAGAAUCUGCCCUCAGGAGGGGGAUAACAGUUGGAAACGACUGCUAAUACCCCAUAUGCCGAGAGGUGAAACGAAUUUCGCCUGGGGAUGAGCUCGCGUCUGAUUAGCUUGUUGGUGGGGUAACGGCUUACCAAGGCUUCGAUCAGUAGCUGGUCUGAGAGGACGAUCAGCCACACUGGGACUGAGACACGGCCCAGACUCCUACGGGAGGCAGCAGUGGGGAAUUUUCCGCAAUGGGCGCAAGCCUGACGGAGCAACGCCGCGUGAGGGAUGGAGGCCUUUGGGCUGUAAACCUCUUUUCUCAAGGAAGAAGACCUGACGGUACUUGAGGAAUAAGCCACGGCUAAUUCCGUGCCAGCAGCCGCGGUAAUACGGGAGUGGCAAGCGUUAUCCGGAAUUAUUGGGCGUAAAGCGUCCGCAGGCGGCCGUUUAAGUCUGUUGUUAAAUCGUGGAGCUCAACUCCAUCACGGCAAUGGAAACUGUUCGGCUUGAGUAUGGUAGGGGCAGAGGGAAUUUCCGGUGUAGCGGUGAAAUGCGUAGAUAUCGGGAAGAACACCAGUGGCAAAAGCGCUCUGCUGGGCCAUUACUGACGCUCAUGGACGAAAGCCAGGGGAGCGAAAGGGAUUAGAUACCCCUGUAGUCCUGGCCGUAAACGAUGAACACUAGAUGUUGGGGGAAUCGACCCCCUCGGUGUCGUAGCUAACGCGUUAAGUGUUCCGCCUGGGGAGUACGCACGCAAGUGUGAAACUCAAAGGAAUUGACGGGGGCCCGCACAAGCGGUGGAGUAUGUGGUUUAAUUCGAUGCAACGCGAAGAACCUUACCAAGGCUUGACAUCCUGCGAAUCUCUAAGAAAUUAGAGAGUGCCUUCGGGAACGCAGUGACAGGUGGUGCAUGGCUGUCGUCAGCUCGUGUCGUGAGAUGUUGGGUUAAGUCCCGCAACGAGCGCAACCCACGUUUUUAGUUGCCAGCAUUCAGUUGGGCACUCUAAAGAGACUGCCGGUGACAAACCGGAGGAAGGUGUGGACGACGUCAAGUCAUCAUGCCCCUUACGCCUUGGGCUACACACGUACUACAAUGCUGCGGACAAAGAGUAGCGAUCUUGCGAAAGUUAGCUAAUCUCGUAAACCGUGGCUCAGUUCAGAUCGUAGGCUGCAACUCGCCUACGUGAAGGAGGAAUCGCUAGUAAUCGCAGGUCAGCAUACUGCGGUGAAUACGUUCCCGGGCCUUGUACACACCGCCCGUCACACCAUGGAAGUUGGCCAUGCCCGAAGUCGUUACUCUAACCGUUUGGAAGAGGGCGCCGAAGGCAGGGCUAAUGACUGGGGUGAAGUCGUAACAAGGUAGCCGUAGCGGAAGCUGCGGCUGGAUCACCUCCUAACAGGGAAACACAACUG